rnacentral:lncRNA from 1 species
GGAGAGGGCGGGGGCGAUGCUGCCGGAGCCGCAGCCGCCGCCGCCGCCUCGGUGAGAGCCGCGCCGCGCCGCGCAUAGCCGCACAGGCUGACAGGCAGAAGGACUGACUUCCCUCUCCCGGGCAUCCUCCCUGGGCUGCCGGGAGGCGGCGGCGGAGGAGGAGGAGGAGAAGGAAAAGGAGGAGACGGCGGAGAGCAGAAACGUGAGGAGGUGGACCUGGAUCCGUUUCUCCCGGCCAGGACCCGAGCGGCCCCAGCUACCACUACCCGCCGGCGCCGUCCCCUAUCCAUCAGCCCUCCUGCGCCCACCCGCGACCCCCGGCUCUCUGCGCGUUGGGCCAGGUCCAGAGCGGCGCGGCCGGAGACUGUCUGGCCUCCCGGUGAUGUUCACGCUGUGCUAAGUGUUGGCGGCCAUCGAGGUUUUUGCAUCCUGGGGACGAAUCCUGAGCUUGCCAGAGACGGACAGCGCAAGGAUCGCUUGCAUGCAAUUGUGUCUGCCGAGCAGGAGGACUCCAGAUUAGAGGGAGCGAGAGAGAGAGGCCUGCUCAUCAGCCUGCAUAAUCAGCAUCGAACAUAUUUCUGCCCCAACAAAGAGAACAGUGUGUUCCUGAGACGCUGCUGUGCGGCUCAGAGCCUCGCUGGUGGGCGGUUCUCCUGGGAGAGAGUUGCAUUUUUCAGCCGUUUCCCCCACCUCCACCCCCACCCCUUUAUUUUGCCCUCGACUUUCUGGCUCCUGAGGAGGGGGCUGCUCCCAUGGGGCCUGGCGGAGGGCAGAGAUGGCUCUGGCUUCUGUGCCCCUUCAUCCUUCUGA